rnacentral:lncRNA from 10 species
UGGGGAUUCAGAUGUCCUUCAUAGACAAGGAGUGAAACUCUGGGUUGUCUACUCCUGGAUCCCUUAGCUCAGGACUCCAAACACACAUUCUUCUUAGACCAUAGGGUCAUUCUCAGGGUAUGCUUCAGUUAUAGUUGUCAGGUGCCUCUGCCGUGUACCAACUAUAAUUUAUGUCUGUUUACUCUUGGAGAUACAUUUUCAGUUGGUGGGGUCAGAAGUGAGGAGACAUUAUCUCUCAGUAGGACCCACGGGUCAAAUAGCAAACUCAACCAACCAAGAUAUGAAAAUGACUCAAUAAAGAGAAGAAAAAGUUAAAGUACUUGACAAAAUGAGAUAUGCUGCCACAAUUUUGAACUUUACUUCUUAUGAGAAGGCCCAGAGGAGAUUUAAACACAGACGUGUGCACAGUGGAAAGAUCUGUGACAACAGAGGGAGAAAUUCAGCCAUCCAAGCCAUCCACAAGUGAAGGAGAGAGGUCUCAAUGAAACCAACACUGCUGACAACUUGAUCUUGGACUGCUACCCUGGAUAACUGUGAGGAAAUAAAUUUCUGGUGUUUUA